rnacentral:ncRNA from 1 species
GAGUGCCAAGUGGGCCACUCUUGGUAAGCAGGACUGGCGAUGCGGGAUGAACCGAACGCCGGGUUAAGGCGCCCGACGCGACGCUCAUCAGAGCCCACAAAGAGGUGUUGGUUGAUAUAGACAGCAGGACGGUGGCCAUGGAAGUCGGAAACCGCUAAGGAGUGUGUAACAACUCACCUGCCGAAUCAAUCAGCCCUGAAAAUGGAUGGCGCUGGAGCGUCGGGCCUAUACCCGGCCGUCGCGGCGGUACGAGCAUCGAGUUGGUGCGCUAGGCCGCGACGAGUAGGAGGGCCGCGGCGGCGGGCGUAGAAGCCUAGGGCGCGAGCCCGGGUGGAGCAGCCGUCGGUGCAGAUCUUGGUGGUAGUAGCAAAUAUUCAAAUGAGAACUUUGAAGGCCGAAGUGGAGAAGGGUUCCAUGUGAACAGCAGUUGAACAUGGGUCAGUCGACCCUAAGGGAUAGGCGAAGGCCGUUCUGAAGCGGGGUGAUGUUCGCGUCGCCCCGGCGGACCGAAAGGGAAUCGGGUUAAUAUUCCCGAACCUCGACGCGGAGAUUGGCGCUCCGGCGCCUAGUGCGGCAACGCAAACGAACUCGGAAACGCCGACGUGGGUCCCGGGAAGAGUUCUCUUUUCUUGGUAAGGGGCGGCGACCCUGGAAUCGGUUCGCCCGGAGAUAGGGACAUGGGCGUGGUAAAGCAGCACGUCUCUUGUGCUGUCCGGUGAGCUCGCGUCGGCCCUUGAAAAUCCGAGGGAGACGGUGUAAUUUUCGUGCGAGGUCGUACCCAUAUCCGCAGCAGGUCUCCAAGGUGAACAGCCUCUGGCCGAUAGAACAAUGUAGGUAAGGGAAGUCGGCAAACUAGAUCCGUAACUUCGGGAAAAGGAUUGGCUCUAGGGGCUGGGUCGGUCGGGCUGAGGUACGAAGCGGGGCGCGGCGCUGUACCGGACUGGGCGAACGACGGCCUCCCUCGCGGGGGGCUGGCGUGAGCCUGGACCUGUGUCGGCGUCUUCCCGUGGAAUGCCGCAGCUAACGCGGGCCUCGCGGCCCGCUUCGGCCGGCGUCGAACAGCCGACUUAGAACUGGUACGGACCGGGGGAAUCCGACUGUUUAAUUAAAACAAAGCUUUGCGAUGGCCGUCAGCCGGUGUUGACGCAAUGUGAUUUCUGCCCAGUGCUCUGAAUGUCAAAGUGAAGAAAUUCAACCAAGCGCGGGUAAACGGCGGGAGUAACUAUGACUCUCUUAAGUAACUAUGACUCUCUUAAAUUUCCGAUUCUAAACUAAUUCCGGAACUUCGAAGCUUUAGCCUAGAAUCAUAACGGAAUCCGGAUCGGGCCGGACAUGACCUUUGUCGGUACGGACACGGAGACGCUAGUCGUGAGAGCGACUGUGGCACGGCCACGCGGCACGCACCGCGUCCCCAAGCGGUUUGGGGGCGAAUAUGCGGAAAGUAACACAGAGGGGCAGAACGAGGGGUUCCAUGUGAUGAAGAGUUCCGGUUAGCCGGGCCCUAGUCCGGGGGCUUCUCACUCUCUGAUGGGAUUCUAUUUGAAUAAGGUACCCCAUUAGUAAAUUGUUUAAACGCCGGCAACCUGCUGUUGCUUUUGGCAAUUGAAAAGGAUACCUUUCAAAAAGUAAACCGCAAUAGCAAAGCGAAAUUUAGCUAACAGAAGAAAAUCACGGACAAAUAUUUGUUGGCAAUCCAAAGAUCCAACAACAAUUUCUGAAAGCAAAACAUGCAAUCGGAAACUCCGAAAUUAUUCUACAGAGGACCCGCUCGCAUAGCUUGCGCGCUAUGCGAUGCAGUCCUCGGUACUGACUGCCAAGCCUCGCACCACCUGCUCAGCACCCACCAAGACAGGACAUCCAGCUACGCGUGCGGUAAGUGCAAUCGCUCUUUUCUGCGACUCACGCAGGUCUCCGUCCAUUUCCCAAGAUGCUCAACAAAAGAUCAUGAAGAGGCAUCGAGGAGGAUGGAGCCCGGUGGGGGAACGCUGUUCUUCCUGCAGUUUGGCCUUUAAUACCCAAAGGGGUCUCCGCCUGCAUAUGCGGGCUGCCCACCAAGUCUCGUUUCAC